AAGUAAACCUGAUUGCAGUGGAAAUACUUUUUGCUCAUUGAUAGUAUUAGAUUGCCGCGUCGUACCUCUUCGCAAUUACGGGAAUUUGAGCACAACACAAUGACAAAAAGAUUGCAACGAAAAGCAGGACUGCUG
rnacentral:sRNA from 1 species